rnacentral:rRNA from 1 species
AUUGAACGCUGGCGGCAGGCCUAACACAUGCAAGUCGAGCGAGCGGCGGACGGGGGAGUAAUGUAUGGGGACUGCCCGAUAGAGGGGGAUAACUACUGGAAACGGUAGCUAAUACCGCAUACUAUCGGAUAACCCAUAGGGGAUUAGCUAGUAGGUGAGGUAAUGGCGUACCAAGGCGACGAUCCCUAGCCGGUCUGAGAGGAUGAUCAGCCACACUGGGACUGAGACACGGCCCAGACUCCUACGGAGGCAGCAGUAGGGAAUAUUGCACAAUGGGCGAAAGCCUGAUGGAGCCAUGCCGCGUGUAUGAAGAAGGCCUUAGGAUUGUAAAGUACUGUCAGUCGGGAGGCGUUACCGACAGAAGAAGCACCGGCUAACUCCGUGCCAGCCGCCGCGGUAAUAC